GUCCAAGAAUGAACCCUUAAGUAGUCUAGCAAUUUUUCAGGACAGAUAAAGCAAAAAAAUGCCUAGCCUCGUAGGUAGACUUUGGGCAGCUGAUACUGUGCAAUGAAUGGAACAAAUCCACUUCUUGCAGGACAGGGACUGGAGGUGCUGCCCACUGCCUCAUCAGGAGGUGACUGCCUAGCAGCCACGUUACCAGCAUUGGACAUCUCUCAAAUGUGAAUAGUUCCUCACUUUUCUGCCUUUCCACAGAGUUACUUGUAUGACUUUUGCCUACAUUUCUCAUAUGGUGUUUUUACAGUGGUGGUGAUGCGCUUGGAUUUGCUUCUAGCUGUGCUAUGCAGUACCGUAUAGUCUCUUGUGGUUCUCCAGAGUCCUGGACCCGCGUUGAAGAUAGUGCUCUGCUCCAUCGGCCCUGCUGCUUUCAGCAUUGAAUACUUGAUGCUCAGACUCCAAGGAUAAAAGCCUGGCAAUGCCUCAAAAAAAUCCCAAGGAGAAGAGCUUAGAGUUGUCACGAGGCAUGGAUGUCAUCUUUACAAACAGGGAAGGAAUGAUCCAGUCACCAGCAUACCCCAUGAGAUAAGCGAAUGCCACCAGAAAUACUGUUGCAAUCAAACGUAUUGGAUGCGAGGUCCUAAUCAUGGCAUGGCUGUGCCUCAGAAGAACAAUGCCCAGGCUUUGAUCUAAUUCCAGUUGGAGCCACUGAAAUAACAUCUUCCAAUUACCCUGGCAUUUACCCUGACAUGCUGAACCACGCUUGGACAAUUUAUUCUAAUUCAGGAAAUAAGCUGAGGCUGUACUUAAAGAUUUUGUAGCUGAGGAUGCAAAAGAUUGCACUUGGGAUCAUUUGAGUGUUUAUGAUGGACCACAUCUCUCUUCAAGGCUUCUGGCCCCCAAGCAAACUUAUGUGGCCAGAAAAUAUCUUCUAGCACAUUCUCUAGCAGCAGCUUCCUGACACUGCAUUUCAAAACUGAUGAAUCUGUGGGACACAGAGGCUUCAAAAUCCUUCUUGAAGAGUUGCAUCAGCAGCCAGCAUGAAGUGAGCUGGAAGGCAGCAGCCAAUACAAUGCUCAGACAGAACAGUUCUGGGGAAAAAUAACUUGUUGCCAAAUGUGAAGGAUGACAACCCCAUGCUUGUGAAAGCUGUGCGCACAUACUAUGGCUUUGGUGGGUUUCCUUUUGGAAAUGACCUGGCACUCCUGGAGCUGCAGAAACCCAUUGAGCCAGGGAGACUCUGGGUGGCCACCGAUCUGUGUGAUCAAUGGGCAUUACAAGCUGGUCAGUAUCGCAAGCUGGGGCAGAGUCACCAACAGCCUACGGCAGGGUUUCUGCCCACAGACACUGGAUUUCAUCAGUCACAAACAGAAACGUUAGAUUAACUUCAGCAGGAGCUUUUCAGGUUUUUGUGUAUUUUUCCUCAGCAAAGAGGUUGUGAUGUAUACUGGGUAAAUGUUUGUGAUUCAGGUCACCUUCCUCCAAACCCUUCCUCUUUGGAAGUUCAAACUUGAGCACUCAGUUUCAGAAAUCCUUUUUUUUACUGCAGCAGAGCUUGUGGUGCUGUAGCGCUGAUAUAAAUUCAGUUCCUGAAAGGUGCCUAGGAAAUACUAUCCUUCAGUGUUUGGGUGCAUGUUUAGUGUCAAGUCCUUUACACAGCUGGUACUCAUCUGUCAAAAUAAAAUUGGUAUGCCCUGUUCCUCUUAGAUAACGUGAUUUACCAGAGGGAAGUAGCUGCUGCAGCAGCAUGGAUAGCAAAGAUGGACUGCUUCAGCUGCAGUGUUACUUUGCUGAAAAGGAAGCAAUCUGGAAUUUGGUAUGAUGGCUCAUCCAUUGUAAAUAUACCUUCAGGUUUCAGAAAGAUUUAUUUAUGCCAAGCUCUUAGCCUUGUCUCUCGUAUUAGGAAGGCCAU